UUCCUCUCUUCUCAUUGCUGUGAACAGAAAACAAAAUGGGAGGGGAGGAGGAUAGGAAAAUGAGAAAGAAGAAAAGAAAAGAAGGAGAAAGAAGAAGAAGAAGAGAGAAAGGAGUUAUGCAGCAGCCUUCCUGCUGCUGUACACUACUUCGGCUGCUGCUGUUCAGCCAUGGAUGCGGCUGAAUGAGAGUGCAUGCAAGUGUUAUGUACUCUCCACUUCAAGAAGGUGCUGCCUUAGUCUUGUUCAGCUGAAGAAUUGGAGAAAAGAAUGGCUGAUUGAGCUGCAUGCAACAAGAGAGUACAACAAAAAGGAAUCUUAUAACUACAGUUGUUGAGGAAACGCGAGGCUAGGACAUUGGUGAAGAAUUUCAGAUAUGAAACUUCAGGUAUUGAAGCUGAAGCAGAAGUGAAUAGAUAAUGACUUUUGAUACUUUGUACAUUAUAGUGUAAAUUAAAUGUAAGUAGUAUUAUGUAAUUUGUUGUAACCUAUGGGAAAAUUAUUAGUGGGACUGUAAUAAAUAAAGUUAUCAUUGUAGCUGAUCACCACACAUAUGUCAUGACCUUUAUCUGGAAUUUUACAUAUACUCUUAUUUUACGGUUGUAUUAGUUGUGGGUUUAGUUA